ACAAUGUAAGAUGCCCAGGAAGCUUUGCUGUAAUCCUGAAUCUUUAGACUUUUCUAGGAGACUUGGGCAUCACAAGAUCAAAACAGAGACCUUCACACUCAAGUUUUUAAGACAGAGAAAAGUUCCUUGAGCAAAUGCAAGAAACACCAAAAACAAUCCAUUGAUACACUUGGUGACAUUAAUUGAGAAAAAAACAAUACGGUCUGGCCAUGGAGGCAUGAUAUCCGUAACAUCCCCCAAAGGAGCUAAAGAAGAAAUCCACAAUUUACCAUGAGCAUUUCUCGUCUAAUGAUUGCCAAGCGAUUCCUCCAGGACAUUCCUCAAGAUCAAUUUCUGUUCAUCCACCUUGUCCUGGGAGGGACAUCAAUGGGUUUCCAUGUCCUUUGGCUUCUGGUUGAGUUCACUCAGUGGAGAACCCUGGCAAGAGGCAGGAAAAGGGGAGGAAGGUGAAAACCAUCCAUUUCUUGGAGAAGUGCCACGGUGGGGUUGCAAGUCCCAGGAUCAAGAUUUCGAUGUGUCUCUUUUUCCCGUAAAGUGGCUGAAAUCUGAAGCUGAAUCUGCAAGUGUCAUGGAGUCAUUGAAUCUCACAGUCUCAACUGAUAAAAGUUAUUAAAGGUAAAAAUGGUGCUACCCUUGGAAAUCCAAGAGCAGCUUCAAGAGUCAACUAUACCAGCAAUCCCUAAAGCUGGAGAAUUUAUGCCCAUGGAAAAGUCUGUAGCGUUUUGCAAACCUU
rnacentral:lncRNA from 1 species